rnacentral:rRNA from 1 species
GCGUUGUUCGGAUUUACUGGGCGUAAAGGGCGCGUAGGCGGCGUAUCAAGUCAAUUGUGAAAUCUCCGGGCUUAACUCGGAACGGUCAAUUGAUACUGAUGUGCUAGAGUGUAGAAGGGGCAAUCGGAAUUCUUGGUGUAGCGGUGAAAGGCGUAGAUAUCAAGAGGAACCCCUGAGGUGAGGGCGGGUUGCUGGUCUGACACUGACGCUGAGGCGCGAAAGCUAG